rnacentral:rRNA from 1 species
UUCAUGCCGCGUGCAGGAUGAAGGCCUUCGGGUUGUAAACUGCUUUUGUACGGAACGAAACGGCUCUUUCUAAUAAAGAGGGCUAAUGACGGUACCGUAAGAAUAAGCACCGGCUAACUACGUGCCAGCAGCCGCGGUAAUACGUAGGGUGCAAGCGUUAAUCGGAAUUACUGGGCGUAAAGCGUGCGCAGGCGGUGAUGUAAGACAGUUGUGAAAUCCCCGGGCUCAACCUGGGAACUGCAUCUGUGACUGCAUUGCUGGAGUGCGGCAGAGGGGGAUGGAAUUCCGCGUGUAGCAGUGAAAUGCGUAGAUAUGCGGAGGAACACCGAUGGCGAAGGCAAUCCCCUGGGCCUGCACUGACGCUCAUGCACGAAAGCGUGGGGAGCAAACAGGAUUAGAUACCCUGGUAGUCCACGCCCUAAACGAUGUCAACUGGUUGUUGGGAAUUCACUUUCUCAGUAACGAAGCUAACGCGUGAAGUUGACCGACUGGGGAGUACGGCCGCAAGGUUGAAACUCACCGGACUUGACGGGGACCCGCACAACGCGGUGGCUGCUGUGGUUUAAUUCGAUGCACCGCGAAAAACCUUACCACCUUUGACAUGUCCGGAAUUUGCCAGACAUGGCUUAGUGCUCGAAAGGA